rnacentral:rRNA from 1 species
CUAACUAUAAACGAUGCCGACUAGGGAUCGGUGGGCGUUAAUAUAAAAUUGUCUUGGGUUAUUUUUUUACUUUUAUUUUUUUAAAAUAAAAGUUCUAAAAUGUCUUUGACAAGAAAUGACCCCAUCGGCACCUCAAUUUGAUACUUCUCAAUGGGAAACCAAAGUUUUUGGGUUCCGGGGGGAGUAUGGUCGCAAGGCUGAAACUUAAAGGAAUUGACGGAAGGGCACCACCAGGAGUGGAGUUUGCGGCUUAAUUUGACUCAACACGGGAAAACUCACCAGGCCCAGACAUGGUAAGGAUUGACAGAUUGAGAGCUCUUUCUUGAUUCCAUGAAAGGUGGCGCAUGGCCGUUCUUAGUUGGUGGAGUGAUUUGUCUGGUUAAUUCCGUUAACGAACGAGACCUUGGCCUGCUAACUAGGGGGGGUUAUCGUUUGGAUGAGUUAGCAGAGUUGGUUUUGCUUUUUUAUCUUCGGAUAGAAGGGUUAAAAUCAACUGUUGUUACUUGUUCAUAUUUUGCGAUAGCACCUAAGAUUUAAAAAAUCUUUCAACCCUUUUUUGGUCUUAAGGGAAGAGGGAAGUUUUCUUUUUGGGAUUUAUUUUCCAAUUGUGGAGGCUUCUCAUCAAAAUCUUUCUUUUUGAUUGAAGAAGGAAAAAUCCUUCUUAGAGGGACUAUCUGCGUUUUUACAACUAGCAGAUGGAAGCUCGAGGCAAUAACAGGUCUGUGAUGCCCUUAGAUGUCCUGGGCUGCACGCGUACUACACUGACGAAUUCAACAAGUGAUUUAAAUUUGAUUGAGCUACUUACUUUGUUUUCCUUCGGGAGGAUGAGGAGAGAGGGCUUUUUCAAAAACCUUGGCAGAAAUGUCUGGGUAAUCUCCUUAAAGUUCGUCGUGCUAGGGAUAGAUGAUUGUAAUUAUU